rnacentral:rRNA from 1 species
UACGGAGGGUGCAAGCGUUAUCCGGAUUCACUGGGUUUAAAGGGCGCGCAGGCGGAUUUGUAAGUCAGUGGUGAAAGGCUUAAGCUUAACUUGGGAACUGCCAUUGAUACUAUAAGUCUUGAAUGUUGUUGAGGUUUGCGGAAUGGGUCAUGUAGCGGUGAAAUGCAUAGAUAUGACCCGGAACACCUAUUGCGAAGGCAGCAGGCUAAACAAAUAUUGACGCUGAGGCGCGAAAGCGUGGGUAGCAAACAGG